UCUAGGUGCCCCGUGGAUUGGAGCCGUCAUGGGAACAGACUGAGAAGAGCCUAGGAGGCACAGGGCCACUCCCGCUGACCGCGUCUCCGAGGGUCAGGUCACUGGGCGGCGAGCAGUGGCUGGAGACAUGGGAGCAGCGCUGUGACCACACACGGAGUCUCCAGCCACGAAAGGACGCCACCGUCCCAGAGCCCCUCACCCUCUGCAGUCCAAGCCGAAGUG